rnacentral:rRNA from 1 species
GGCGGCCACCGCUAUUGGAAUACGAUUAAGACAUGCGAGUCGAGAGACGUAAGGUCUCGGCGGACCGCUCAGUAACACGUGGAUAACAUGCCCUAAGGUGGGGGAUAAUCUCGGGAAACUGAGAAUAAUACCCCAUAGAUCUAGAAAGCUGGAAUGCUUUUAGAUCGAAAACUCCGGUGCCCAAGGAUUGGUCUGCGGCGUAUCAGGUUGUAGUGGGUGUAACGGACCCCCUAGCCUAUGACGCGUAAGGGCCUUGAGAGAGGGAGCCCUGAGAUGGACUCUGAGACAUGAGUCCAGGCCCUACGGGGCGCAGCAGUCGCGAAAACUUCACAAUGGGGGAAACCCCGAUGAGGGAAUUCCAAGUGCCAGCACAUUGUGUUGGCUGUUCUCUGGUCUAAAA